CUUCAACAAAGUAAUAGAAAAGAGUUCUGUGCUUCUUGUCAUCCACAGUGACAUAUCCUGAGAAUUGUUGAAAGCCCACAUGGGGUUGUCCAGGAAGCCUGAUAAUCUUAUCAGAAUGAGAUAAAGAUGAAGAAGAUUCUAACCCAAGAGAAAUGCAUAGCUGAACCACCAGUGAAGCCAAUGCCAUGGCUUUCCAUAUUUGAGAAUACAUAAUUUCAAAAAGUGGAGAAAAAAAAAUGACUUGGACAAGGCAGUUGGGGAUAAGAAAUACCCGUUUAAAAUGUUGCUCUGUGGACGACGCAGAGGUGAGGGUGGGCGCACUAAAUAAAUAGCUAGGCUUGUAUAUUAUUAUGAUUACAUUUCUUACUUUUUGCUUGCAGGCCUGAAAAUGGUGUUGAAAGAGAUGUG
rnacentral:misc_RNA from 1 species